GAGGGUAUAGCUCCAGUGGGAGAGUGUCUGCUUAGCAUGCACGAGGUCCUGGGUUCAAUCCCCAGUUCCGCCA
rnacentral:tRNA from 1 species